AUUGAACACUGGCGGCAGGCCUAACACAUGCAAGUCGAGCGGACGAAGAGAGCUUGCUCUCUGAUUUAGCGGCGGACGGGUGAGUAAUGCCUAGGAAUCUGCCUGGUAGCGGGGGAUAACGUCCGGAAACGGGCGCUAAUACCGCAUACGUCCUACGGGAGAAAGCAGGGGACCUUCGGGCCUUGCGCUAUCAGAUGAGCCUAGGUCGGAUUAGCUAGUUGGUGAGGUAAUGGCUCACCAAGGCUACGAUCCGUAACUGGUCUGAGAGGAUGAUCAGUCACACUGGAACUGAGACACGGUCCAGACUCCUACGGGAGGCAGCAGUGGGGAAUAUUGGACAAUGGGCGAAAGCCUGAUCCAGCCAUGCCGCGUGUGUGAAGAAGGUCUUCGGAUUGUAAAGCACUUUAAGUUGGGAGGAAGGGCAGUAAGUUAAUACCUUGCUGUUUUGACGUUACCGACAGAAUAAGCACCGGCUAACUUCGUGCCAGCCGCCGCGGUAAUAC
rnacentral:rRNA from 1 species